AUAAAUCCGUGAACAGUUUGAUAUAAGCCCGAGGUGUUGGAAGUAGCGCCAUUAGUUCCCCGGACGUUGCAGGCAGCAAUCGUGAGAGGUUUUAUCGAUAACUUGGACUAGUAUCAGAUAAAUAAUUUAAAUAUGGCUGACUCUGACCGUAUCGUUUACCCUGACGAAGUCGAGGAAGUAAAAGAGGAGGUGAUCAAAGCGACAUCUGUGGAGAAAAGUGAGGCUGUUCCGGAAACUCCCGCAGCGCCAUCUAUACAAAUGCGUAACAUGAUCACAGUUCCACCAAACUGCCCACCUGGUUUCAAAAUGGGCGCCGAUGGUGUUUGCCGAGAAGUUUUCGAUUAAAAUUAUAACUAUUAAGAGUUAAAUGCUGCAGUCAGAAUACUUAAAUGAUCCCCAAAUACUAAGGGAUAGUUUAACUAACUAUUAAAUUACUACUCGUAUAACUGCGUCAGUACGUUAAUAUAAGGAAUUAGGCUCUCUUGAAAUUUUAAAUUAUUUGUGUUUGUAGAGCCUGUAUCUAUGCUGUUUAGAAAGAAGUUAGUAAUAUCAUAUUUUAAGCUAAGUUUAGUUGCUAAAAUGUAUUUUAUUAUUCGUCUCAGUAUUAUUAAUGUUCCUGUUUGUUGAAAGCAUUACUCAAGGUAAAUGCUUUGUGUUUGUGCUAUGAUCAAUGAAGUAUUAAAAUGUAAAGUGAAACA